CUUGGUGACUAUAGCUGCGAGGGUACACCCGGUAACAUACCGAACCCGGAAGUUAAGCUCGCACACGCCGAUGGUACUUGGGGGGGAGCCCCCUGGGAGAGUAGGUCAUUGCCAAGA
rnacentral:rRNA from 1 species